UGGAAGUAAAAGUCGUAACAAGGUUUCCGUAGGUGAACCUGCGGAAGGAUCAUUAAAAAAUGUGGUACCAUUAUUGGUACUAAUUAAUCAUCCUACCCUUUGUGAAUUUGUUUGUAUGAAUUUUUUUAAAUGGGUCUUUCCCUAAGUUGGAUUGUUAGUAAAAUACAAAAAGACUUAGGGGAAUGACUUUUUUAAAAGACUUUUUUUUUAAUUAAAACUUUUUGUAUUCAUUUGUCUAAAAUUUAUUUUUAUAAUAUAAAAACAACUUUUGACAAUGGAUCUCUUGGUUCUCGCAACGAUGAAGAACGCAGCAAAAUGCGAUAAGUAGUGUGAAUUGCAGAAUACGUGAAUCAUCGAAUCUUCGAACGCAUAUUGCACUUUUUUAGUUUACUAAAAAAGUAUGUCUGUUUGAGUAUCAGUAAAAUAUUCUCACAAACAUAUAUUGUUUGUGGUUAUGAGUGUUUUACAACGAUAAACAAGUUGUUUCACUUUAAAUUCUUUUUAAUUGAAUUUUUACCAAUUCAUAAAUUAAAAUUGGAUAAAAUUUUCCUUUAACCGAGAAAUAACCUAAACAAUUUUAAAUUUUAUGGAUUAAUAAACAUUCAUCAAAGGAAUCUAAUUAUACAUAAAUAACUUGAUCUCAAAUCAGAUAUGAGUACCCGCUGAGCUUAAGCAUAUCAAUAAGCGGAGGAAAAGAAACUAACAAGGAUUCCCUUAGUAACGGCGAGUGAAGCGGGAAGAGCUCAAAUUUGAAAUCUUCAAGGUUUGACCUUGACGAAUUGUAGUUUAUAGAAGUGUUUUCUGUUGGAGUUUUGGUAAAAGUUCUUUGGAAUAGGACAUCAUAGAGGGUGAGAAUCCCGUAUUUGACCAUGACUUUCCAGCUGUGUGAUACACUUUCAAAGAGUCGGAUUGUUUGGGAAUGCAGUCCAAAAUGGGUGGUAAAUUUCAUCUAAAGCUAAAUAUUGGCGAGAGACCGAUAGCGAACAAGUACCGUGAGGGAAAGAUGAAAAGAACUUUGAAAAGAGAGUUAAACAGUACGUGAAAUUGUCAAAAGGGAAGCGUUUGACACCAGUGUUGUUUUCUCGAAAAUCAAUUUAAUGAGUUCUUGUUUUUAAGUUAUUGUGACUUUAUCAGCGCAUUUCUUAUUUUACUUGACUCAUUGAAUGCACUUUUCGUUUAACAAGUCAACAUCAAUUUCUUUGGUGGUAAAAAGUUUAAAGGAAGGUGGCUUGGACUUCGGUUCAAGUGUUUAUAGCCUUUUUUCUAUGCCAUCGGAGAGAUUGAGGUCUGCAGCGUAGAUCCUUCGGGGUUAGAUACCUUUGUGCUAAGUUAUAGUUUUUUAUAGACAACUUGUUGACUAUAAUUAACCCUGUAAUUUACUCGCUUAGGCUAUUUUACCUACGCUUAGG
rnacentral:misc_RNA from 1 species